rnacentral:rRNA from 1 species
AAUAUUGCGCAAUGGGGGUAACUCUGACGCAGCGACGCCUCGUGAGCGAUGAAGGACUUCGGAACGUAAAGCUCUGUUCUUGGGGAAGAAGGUCCUCGGACUUGACGGUACCCAUGGAGGAAGCCCCGGCUAACUACGUGCCAGCAGCCGCGGUAAUACGUAGGGGGCAAGCGUUGUCCGGAAUUAUUGGGCGUAAAGGGUGCGUAGGCGGCCAUUAAAGUCAGAUGUGAAAGCCCACGGCUCAACCGUGGGAUUGCAUUUGAAACUGGAGGGCUUGAGUAUCGGAGAGGGUAGUGGAAUUCCCAGUGUAGCGGUGAAAUGCGUAGAUAUUGGGAGGAACACCAGUGGCGAAGGCGACUACCUGGACGAUUACUGACGCUGAUGCACGAAAGCUAGGGGAGCAAAC